GCAUGCAGUGUUGCUUAAAUCACCUGAGGGAGUCCAACUCAAACUGAAGUUAAAAGAUGAAUUAUUAAAAUACAAGAAUGAAUUUAUUAGGUUUAAGCGAGAAAAAUUUGAGAGAGUGCAAUUGGACUACCUACAACACAGAGUAUACAAGUGGCUCUCAGGAGAUAUUCAGCGCAGACCCCGGAGACCUCGGAAAAGAAUCCAACGUCCAAAAAUCACCACUAUUGAUGUCACUUCAGGUGAAUCGGCUUCUGAAAAUGAUACACAGCAUGAAACUCCACCUUUUUUUAGAGAACACAGGCACAGUUACCAGAAGUCGAGGAGUGGAUCUAGGAGGAGUAGAACAAGAUGUGGGCGCAAGGGCAAAAACUGGACCCCGGGGCAAACCACCCCACAAGAAGUAGUCCCCAUCUUCAACCUUUCACAUAGGCAGCUGUCUCCAGAUGAAAUUGAAAUCUUAAGCCGUGGCUUAUCCUUUGUGCCAAGAUCCCAUCCUAAUUAGUUUACAUGGAAUGUCGAAUUAUUCAAGUUUGGACGCAGUAUGCGAUUAAAAGAGUACUUUGACCACUUGACUUCUAAUAAGACAUCUUCUGAUACUAAAAUUAUUGAUCAAUUCAAACGUAAAUCCACAUUUGACCCUCAAUCAAAUAAAGCGUCCAUUAAGACCUAUCUAGCAACUUCCAACAAGAUUGCUCCAAAAAAUUUUUCACAGAAGAAUAAAUCACAAAAUAUCACUAAACAGCAAAGAAAGCUUAUCAAACAGCUGGCUGAUGACCCUACCAUAGUCAUCAGAUUGGCAGACAAAGGUGGUGGAAUUGUGAUUAUGAAUUGCCAAUUUUAUGCUGAGGAAUUGCAGGCACAGCUUUCAGAUACAAACACGUAUCAAUUAUUAACAGGCGACCCUACAGAUCAUAUUCAGUCCAAAAUUGCUGAUACUCUAUCUAUGGCACUCACAGCAGGCUAUAUUGAUGUUCAACUAUACCAUUAUAUACACAAACCCCAUCCACGAACGCCGAUCAUCUACAGUAUUCCUAAGAUACAUAAAAAUGUACAGCAACCACCAGGACAUCCGAUUGUAUCUGCAGUAGACUGCAUCUUAGAACCAAUUACAAAAUAGUUAGACUCCAUCUUCAAAGGACCAGUUGAGGAACUACACACAUGCAUUAAAGAUACACAGACAUUGUUAGUUAAAUUGAACACGCUAUGCACCCAAGGACAGGAUCUCUUAAUGAUACCUAUGGAUGUGGCAAGUUUAUACACCAUCAUCCCUCAUGAAGAUGGCGUUGAGGCCAUGCGCACUGUACUCACACAGACUAAGAAUUAUCAAGGCCCUGCUAUA